rnacentral:rRNA from 1 species
GACGAACGCUGGCGGCGUGCUUAACACAUGCAAGUCGAACGGAAAGGCCCUGCUUUUGUGGGGUGCUCGAGUGGCGAACGGGUGAGUAACACGUGAGUAACCUGCCCUUGACUUUGGGAUAACUUCAGGAAACUGGGGCUAAUACCGGAUAGGAGCUCCUGCUGCAUGGUGGGGGUUGGAAAGUUUCGGCGGUUGGGGAUGGACUCGCGGCUUAUCAGCUUGUUGGUGGGGUAGUGGCUUACCAAGGCUUUGACGGGUAGCCGGCCUGAGAGGGUGACCGGCCAAAUGGGGACUGGGAUACGGCCCAGACUCCUACGGGGGGCAGCAGGGGGGAAUAUUGCCAAAUGGGCGGAAGCCUGAUGCAGCAACGCCGGGGGGGGGAGGACGGCCUUCGGGUGGUAAACCGCUUUCGCCUGGGACGAAGCGUGAGGGACGGUAAUGGGUAAAGAAGCCCCGGCUAACUACGU